rnacentral:tRNA from 1 species
UCCCCUGUAGCUCAACGGCAGAGCAUCUGACUGUUAAUCAGAGGGUUCCUGGUUCGAAUCCAGGCGGGGGAGCCA